rnacentral:lncRNA from 1 species
CCUAGUUUGGGAUUGGGUGGGAAGACCUCAUAAAAUAGUGAAGGGUAGACUGAGUCUCGAAUGAGCUAAACAAAUAUAUCGAUAUAAUUGGCCAGCCCUCAGCUGGUCUCUGAUUAUGACCCAACCUGCUGAGAUAAAAUCCAGUGCAUCCUGAGCUACCUUGUUCAUGUUCCAGGAUUCAGUGACUUUGGGCAAGUGAAGCUGUACAGGAAGCAUGGCUGGAGAGGCCCCAGGAAACUUACAAUCAUGGUGGAAAGCAAAGGGGAAGCAGACUGUACAGGAAGCAUGGCUGGGAGGCUUCAGGAAAUUCACAAUCAUGGCAGAAGGUGAAGAGGAAACAAGCACAUCUUCUCAUGGUCAGCAGGAGAGAGAGAGAGAAAGUGAAGGGGUGCUGGUGAUGCAAUCAGACAAGUGCUCUGCUGUUCCGGAGUUUACAUUUGGAAAAAUUGUAUUAUAUACCAGGGAAGGAUGUGGUAACUCCUGAAACCUUCCCUUGGUCAUUGUCUUCUUCUUCUUCUCCUCCUCCUCCCUUUUCUCCCUCUCUUCCUCCUCCUCCUUCUCCUCUUAUUCUUCUUCCUCCUUCUCUUUUUAAAUGAGGAAGCCCAUAGAAAAUAUUGUGGUAGGGAGAAAUGGAUUUUAAAGAAGUAUGACUGAAAAAAAAUCUUUCACUAUAAUAGAAAAUCUUGGUGCUGAGGGAAGAAAUCCAAAAAAUUAAAAAUCUUCAGAAGAUAUGUCUUUGAACAGACAAA